rnacentral:rRNA from 1 species
UACGUAGGGUGCGAGCGUUGUCCGGAAUUAUUGGGCGUAAAGGGCUCGUAGGCGGUUUGUCGCGUCGGGAGUGAAAACGCCGGGCUUAACCCGGUGCUUGCUUUCGAUACGGGCAGACUGGAGGUAUGCAGGGGAGAACGGAAUUCCUGGUGUAGCGGUGAAAUGCGCAGAUAUCAGGAGGAACACCGGUGGCGAAGGCGGGUCUCUGGGCCGAUACUGACGCUGAGGCGCGAAAGCCAGGGGAGCAAACGGG